UGAUCUCAUCCUACUGAUUGAAUUUGCUGACACGCUUAUCAUUUCCUUUUACAGUUUUUAUGGUCCAGAAUGACUCUGUUGCCAGCAUCUUCUGAUAGGAGGAAUUACUUUUCCAGGCAGUGCAAUCAUGCUAUUUAUCAAAAGAAACACUGGACAAUCAGACUGGACUUCAGAGCUGUGUCCUGACCCAUCUGGCCAACUCUCGGCAAGAAACUUCUUUGUUCUUUAGAGACUGAGAUUUAUCCCCAAGCACUAACAGAAUUGAAACGGAAGAAGUUGGAAUUAUUCGUCUUUGAAGAAAUAACUUCACUGGCACUAGGAGAAGCCUCCUUCUCUCGGACCCCAGCACCCUGCACUUACAAACUCUUUGAAGUACUACCUACCCAUCUCUGCCUCAAACGUAACCACUAUUUUGAUUUCAAUCACC
rnacentral:lncRNA from 1 species